AGUUAAACGGCCGCGGUACCCUGACCGUGCUAAGGUAGCGUAACCACUUGUCUUUUAAAUAAAGACUCGUAUGAAAGGCAUCACGAGGAUCAAACUGUCUCCUUUUUUCAACCAGUGAAACUAAUCCCCCCGUGAAGAAACGGGAAUUCCACUAUAAGACGAGAAGACCCUGUGGAGCUUAAGGCAAAGUAAUUUUUAUUACUUCAAAUAACCCUUUCCGAAGAUUAUACACACAACAUCUUAAUUAUUUAGCCUUUAGUUGGGGCGACUGCGGAGUAAAACCAACCCUCCACGCGAACAAUCUCCCACAGAGCCACAACUCUGCACAUCAACACAUUGACAACAAUUGACCCAAUUACUUGAGCAACGAAACAAGUUACCCCAGGGAUAACAGCGCAAUCCAUUUCAAGAGUCCCUAUCGACAAAUGGGUUUACGACCUCGAUGUUGGAUCAGGGUAUCCCAGUGGUGCAGCCGCUACUAAAGGUUCGUU
rnacentral:rRNA from 1 species